UACGUAGGGCGCAAGCGUUGUCCGGAAUUAUUGGGCGUAAAGAGCUCGUAGGCGGUUUGUCGCGUCUGCUGUGAAAACUCGGGGCUUAACUCCGGGCCUGCAGUGGGUACGGGCAGACUAGAGUGCGGUAGGGGAGACUGGAAUUCCUGGUGUAGCGGUGGAAUGCGUAGAGAUCCGGAAGAACACCGGUGGCGAAGGCGGCCUGCUGGGCAGUGGCUGACACUGAGGCGCGACAGCGUGGGGAGCAAACAGG
rnacentral:rRNA from 1 species